UCGAGCGAAUGGAUUAAGAGCUUGCUCUUAUGAAGUUAGCGGCGGACGGGUGAGUAACACGUGGGUAACCUGCCCAUAAGACUGGGAUAACUCCGGGAAACCGGGGCUAAUACCGGAUAACAUUUUGAACCGCAUGGUUCGAAAUUGAAAGGCGGCUUCGGCUGUCACUUAUGGAUGGACCCGCGUCGCAUUAGCUAGUUGGUGAGGUAACGGCUCACCAAGGCAACGAUGCGUAGCCGACCUGAGAGGGUGAUCGGCCACACUGGGACUGAGACACGGCCCAGACUCCUACGGGAGGCAGCAGUAGGGAAUCUUCCGCAAUGGACGAAAGUCUGACGGAGCAACGCCGCGUGAGUGAUGAAGGCUUUCGGGUCGUAAAACUCUGUUGUUAGGGAAGAACAAGUGCUAGUUGAAUAAGCUGGCACCUUGACGGUACCUAACCAGAAAGCCACGGCUAACUACGUGCCAGCAGCCGCGGUAAUACGUAGGUGGCAAGCGUUAUCCGGAAUUAUUGGGCGUAAAGCGCGCGCAGGUGGUUUCUUAAGUCUGAUGUGAAAGCCCACGGCUCAACCGUGGAGGGUCAUUGGAAACUGGGAGACUUGAGUGCAGAAGAGGAAAGUGGAAUUCCAUGUGUAGCGGUGAAAUGCGUAGAGAUAUGGAGGAACACCAGUGGCGAAGGCGAC
rnacentral:rRNA from 1 species